CAAAGGUAGGGUAAUCACUUGUUUAUUAAUUGUAGACCUGUAUGAAAGGCAAAACGAGGGCCUAUCUGUCUCUUGUAGUAAAUCAAUUAAACUGAUCUCCCAGUCCAAAAGCUGGGAUGCCAACAUAAGACCAGAAGACCCUGUGAAGCUUAAACUAAACUAUUAAAUCCUAUAAUAGCUCCUUUCGGUUGGGGCGACCCUGGAAAAAAAAAGAACUUCCAAACAUACUGACCUUACAGUCACCUACCCUAGGCCAACAAGCCUAACAACGACCCAGCACAGCUGAUAAUUGAACCAAGUUACUCCAGGGAUAACAGCGCUAUCUUUUUCAAGAGCCCAUAUCAAAAAGAAGGUUUACGACCUCGAUGUUGGAUCAGGACAUCCUAAUGGUGCAGCCGCUAUUAAGGGUUCGUUUGUUCAACGAUUAACAGUCCUACGUGAUCUGAUUUCAAA
rnacentral:rRNA from 1 species